UGGGGAAUCUUGCGCAAUGGGCGAAAGCCUGACGCAGCCAUGCCGCGUGAAUGAUGAAGGUCUUAGGAUUGUAAAAUUCUUUCACCGGGGACGAUAAUGACGGUACCCGGAGAAGAAGCCCCGGCUAACUUCGUGCCAGCAGCCGCGGUAAUACGAAGGGGGCUAGCGUUGCUCGGAAUUACUGGGCGUAAAGGGAGCGUAGGCGGACUGUUAAGUUAGAGGUGAAAGCCCAGGGCUCAACCUUGGAAUUGCCUUUGAUACUGGCAGUCUUGAGUACGGAAGAGGUAUGUGGAACUCCGAGUGUAGAGGAGAAAUUCGUAGAUAUUCGGAAGAACACCAGUGGCGAAGGCGACAUACUGGUCCGUUACUGACGCUGAGGCUCGAAAGCGUGGGGAGCAAACAGG
rnacentral:rRNA from 1 species